rnacentral:lncRNA from 1 species
UGGGAAUCAGACAGAUAAGACUAGAAAAGACUGAGGGCCCAGGUAUCAGUUUUGCUGGAGAGUAAUACCAGAGAAGAGGCAAGAAAGAUGGCCCCAUGAGAUAAUUUCAUAGGAUUCAUAUUUACAGAUGAGAAAACGGAGGCACAAAAAACACUGCCGAGAAUCACAGUUUGUAAAUAGCAGUGUAGCAUUCAAACCUAGAUCCACCCAACUCUGAUCUGUGUACACGGGGAAGAAGUUGCUUGCAGUGAUAUCUAAGCUAGAGCUGAACCUCAGUUGAGUACCACGGACCCCUAAUGGGCUGAUGGAUGAGUAUACUAGACUGAGACUGUACGGUCUCAGUACUGCCAAAAUAAUACUCUCAGAAAGUUUCUGUGUUUUUGUUUAAAGGAAACAAGAAGAUACAGUGCCUAAGGAGCUAGGUUUCAGUUUGUCUCCCAGUGUUCAGGAAGAGUCCCUCUGCUUCAUCUUGGCCUGACCUGGGGGAAGGGAGCCGUGCGGAAGCUCAGAUGCACCUCCCUGCAGUGCUGCCUGUACCAGGCCGGCUUCGUGGCCCCAGAGCCCAGAAGCACUAGCCAUGCACAGGAGUGGGGACAGCUGAAAGUGGGC